rnacentral:misc_RNA from 1 species
CGACCCUCAAGCACAGCUUGGUGUUGGGCACGGUCCUGCGGGACCCGCCCGCAACUCAUAGGCGGCCGCCGCCCGCGCCCCCAGCGUAGCAAGCUCACGCGUUCGCUCGGGGACGGCGCGUCGCGCCCGCCACACAAACCCUUCCAG